GGUAUUUAUUUAGUACAUUUUAAUUUUUCAAGCAAAGUAUAAAGGAGUUGUACUCCAGUCUAGUAGGUGGCGGCAAUGCAACAAAUUUGAUCGAUACGUGCUACUGGUUUAGACCUCACGUAUUUACCAAGCUGUACAUCGACAUUUUCAAGAUCAUUUCCAUGGUACCCAGACUUUCAAGCAUUGGCCCAUUGACUGUAUGCUGUUCAAGCUGAAAGGCUUUUCAAUGAAGGCCAUGAAGCAUACAUGAGGACAGGGCCCCACUAUGACUUUGACCAUUACAGACAGCUGGUGGACGAGAACGCAAGCUUUUUGUGGCCUCUUGAAGGUGUUGGAGAUCAAGGAGCGGCUGCACCAGGACUUUACCUGUCCAGAGCUUUCUGGACACUUAGACAAGCUGCAGAGUAAAGAGAAGCAGAAGCUUUGAGCUGGUCAACAGGGGCUGAAGUCCAAACAUUUUAUUUUUACCCCCUCAGCCCUUGCGCUAGCUACUUUCCUUCGGGGAAUCCCUGUUGAAACCGGAUGCAGUUUGAUUGUCAUCUUAAGUGGUUCAAUUCACUAACGUUUCCCCUCAGCCCUUGAUUUAGCUCAAGGGAGCAAGUGAACAACUUUGGUCACUAGUGGUAUUUCUAUGACCUACAAUGCAAACUGUAGUCAUGUCAAACUCUGGUGACUGUGGAGUGUCACAUUGAAUCUACAAGGCCGCAUUUUUGGCACGUCAGAAAAAAGUACAGUGGGGCAAAAAAGUAUUUAGUCAGCCACCAAUUGUGCAAGUUCUCCCACUUAAAAAGAUGA